AGGUAUAAUUUGACCUACUGUUGUUUACAUCCAUUUUCAGUAAUGAGUGUUAAUUAAAUCGUGAGCUUUUGGUAACUUAUUUAAUACAUAGAAUUUAUGUACAUGAAACUAUCAAAAUGGCGGUACGGGACUACUUUCUUUAACAAAUCUAAAUAUCACUUGAUAUCUUCAAUAUCUUAUCACAUGUUUUAAUAUAACCUCUAAAUUUACAGUUUUACUGAUAGUCACAGUGUGAGGAGGCGGUUGAGAGAGUUUAUGCAGGUGUUAUUUAUAAUUGUGGACAGUGCCAUACACUGGUCACCUUGUUGUUAAUCACCUUGUAUCAUACGUUUGGAGAGGAGUAGUUUGUGAAGUGGAAUGGACAUGAUCAUGAUAUAAAAUAUGUGUAACAUAUCAGGUGUUUUAUAUAUACAGUAUAAUAAUAUUAAGUAGAACUG